rnacentral:rRNA from 1 species
AGAGUUUGAUCCUGGCUCAGAAUCAACGCUGGCGGCGUGCCUCAGACAUGCAAGUCGAACGCGAAAGUCCCCUUCGGGGGGCAAGUAGAGUGGCGCACGGGUGAGUAACACGUAGGUAAUCUACCUUUGGAUUGGGAAUAACCACCGGAAACGGUGGCUAAUACCGAAUAAUGCAGCGGCACCUAAUGGUGACAGUUGUUAAAGCGGGGGAUCGCAAGACCUCGCGUCUGAAGAGGAGCCUGCGGCAGAUUAGCUAGUUGGUAAGGUAACGGCUUACCAAGGCGAUGAUCUGUAGCCGGCCUGAGAGGGCGGUCGGCCACACUGACACUGACAUACGGGUCAGACUCCUACGGGAGGCAGCAGUCGGGAAUUUUGGGCAAUGGGCGAAAGCCUGACCCAGCAACGCCGCGUGAAGGAUGAAAUCCCUCGGGAUGUAAACUUCGCAAGAACGGGAAGAAUAAGUAAGGGUUAAUAUCUCUUACGAUGACGGUACUGUUUGUAAGCUCCGGCUAACUCCGUGCCAGCCGCCGCGGUAAUAC